AGAGUUUGAUCCUGGCUCAGAACGAACGCUGGCGGCGUGCUUAACACAUGCAAGUCGAACGUGAAAGGGACUUCGGUCCUGAGUAAAGUGGCGCACGGGUGAGUAACACGUGGAUAAUCUACCCGAUGGACCGGGAUAACACUUCGAAAGGGGUGCUAAUACCGGAUAAGCCCACAGGCUCUUUGGAGUUUGCGGGAAAAGGUGGGGACCUUCGGGCCUACUGUCAUUGGAUGAGUCCGCGGCCCAUUAGCUAGUUGGUAGGGUAAUGGCCUACCAAGGCAACGAUGGGUAGCUGGUCUGAGAGGAUGAUCAGCCACACUGGAACUGAGACACGGUCCAGACUCCUACGGGAGGCAGCAGUGGGGAAUUUUGGACAAUGGGCGAAAGCCUGAUCCAGCCAUGCCGCGUGUAUGAAGAAGGCCUUCGGGUUGUAAAGUACUUUUGUUAGGGAAGAAAAGCUUGUUGCUAAUACCAGCAAGCCAUGACGGUACCUAAAGAAUAAGCACCGGCUAACUACGUGCCAGCAGCCGCGGUAAUA
rnacentral:rRNA from 1 species